rnacentral:rRNA from 1 species
AUAAAAGCUUACCAAGCCGACGAUCUGUAGCUGGUCUGAGAGGACGACCAGCCACACUGGGACUGAGACACGGCCCAGACUCCUACGGGAGGCAGCAGUGGGGAAUUUUGGACAAUGGGCGAAAGCCUGAUCCAGCCAUGCCGCGUGCAGGAUGAAGGCCUUCGGGUUGUAAACUGCUUUUGUACGGAACGAAAAGGUGCCUUCUAAUAAAGGGCGCUCAUGACGGUACCGUAAGAAUAAGCACCGGCUAACUACGUGCCAGCAGCCGCGGUAAU